rnacentral:rRNA from 1 species
UACGUAGGGGGCUAGCGUUGUCCGGAAUCAUUGGGCGUAAAGAGCGUGUAGGCGGCCCGGUAAGUCCGCUGUAAAAGUCAAAGGCUCAACCUUUGAAUGUCAGUGGAUACUGCCGGGCUAGAGUCCGGAAGAGGCGAGUGGAACUCCUGGUGUAGCGGUGAAAUGCGCAGAUAUCAGGAGGAACACCGAUGGCGAAGGCAGCUCGCUGGGACGGUACUGACGCUGAGACGCGAAAGCGUGGGGAGCAAACAGG